AUGGGCGAAAGCCUGACCGAGCAACGCCGCGUGAGCGAUGAAGGCCUUCGGGUCGUAAAGCUCUGUUGUUAGAGAAGAACAAGUACGAGAGUAACUGCUCGUACCUUGACGGUACCUAACCAGAAAGCCACGGCUAACUACGUGCCAGCAGCCGCGGUAAUACGUAGGUGGCAAGCGUUAUCCGGAAUUAUUGGGCGUAAAGCGCGCGCAGGCGGUCUCUUAAGUCUGAUGUGAAAGCCCACGGCUCAACCGUGGAGGGUCAUUGGAAACUGGGAGACUUGAGUGCAGGAGAGAAAAGUGGAAUUCCACGUGUAGCGGUGAAAUGCGUAGAGAUGUGGAGGAACACCAGUGGCGAAGGCGGCUUUUUGGCCUGUAACUGACGCUGAGGCGCGAAAGCGUGGGGAGCAAACAGGAUUAGAUACCCUGGUAGUCCACGCCGUAAACGAUGAGUGCUAGGUGUUGGGGGGUUCCACCCUCAGUGCUGAAGUUAACACAUUAAGCACUCCGCCUGGGGAGUACGACCGCAAGGUUGAAACUCAAAGGAAUUGACGGGGGCCCGCACAAGCAGUGGAGCAUGUGGUUUAAUUCGAAGCAACGCGAAGAACCUUACCAGGUCUUGACAUCCUUUGACCACUCUAGAGAUAGAGCUUUCCCCUUCGGGGGACAAAGUGACAGGUGGUGCAUGGUUGUCGUCAGCUCGUGUCGUGAGAUGUUGGGUUAAGUCCCGCAACGAGCGCAACCCUUGACCUUAGUUGCCAGCAUUCAGUUGGGCACUCUAAGGUGACUGCCGGUGACAAACCGGAGGAAGGUGGGGAUGACGUCAAAUCAUCAUGCCCCUUAUGACCUGGGCUACACACGUGCUACAAUGGAUGAUACAAAGGGUUGCGAAGCCGCGAGGCCAAGCCAAUCCCAAAAAGUCAUUCUCAGUUCGGAUUGUAGGCUGCAACUCGCCUACAUGAAGCCGGAAUUGCUAGUAAUCGCGGAUCAGCAUGCCGCGGUGAAUACGUUCCCGGGCCUUGUACACACCGCCCGUCACACCACGAGAGUUUGUAA
rnacentral:rRNA from 1 species